rnacentral:rRNA from 1 species
UACGUAGGGUGCAAGCGUUAAUCGGAAUUACUGGGCGUAAAGCGUGCGCAGGCGGCUUUGCAAGACAGAUGUGAAAUCCCCGGGCUUAACCUGGGAACUGCAUUUGUGACUGCAUGGCUCGAGUGCGGCAGAGGGGGAUGGAAUUCCGCGUGUAGCAGUGAAAUGCGUAGAUAUGCGGAGGAACACCGAUGGCGAAGGCAAUCCCCUGGGCCUGCACUGACGCUCAUGCACGGAAGCGUGGGGAGCAAACAGG